ACCAACAGGGAUUGCCCUAGUAACGGCGAGUGAAGCGGCAACAGCUCAAAUUUGAAAUCUGGCGUCUUCGGCGUCCGAGUUGUAAUUUGCAGAGGGCGCUUUGGCAUUGGCAGCGGUCCAAGUUCCUUGGAACAGGACGUCACAGAGGGUGAGAAUCCCGUACGUGGUCGCUAGCCUUUACCGUGUAAAGCCCCUUCGACGAGUCGAGUUGUUUGGGAAUGCAGCUCUAAAUGGGAGGUAAAUUUCUUCUAAAGCUAAAUACUGGCCAGAGACCGAUAGCGCACAAGUAGAGUGAUCGAAAGAUGAAAAGCACUUUGGAAAGAGAGUUAAAAAGCACGUGAAAUUGUUGAAAGGGAAGCGCUUGCAGCCAGACUUGCCUGUAGUUGCUCAUCCGGGUUUUUACCCGGUGCACUCUUCUAUAGGCAGGCCAGCAUCAGUUUGGGCGGUUGGAUAAAGGUCUCUGUCAUGUACCUCUCUUCGGGGAGAACUUAUAGGGGAGACGACAUGCAACCAGCCUGGACUGAGGUCCGCGCAUCUGCUAGGAUGCUGGCGUAAUGGCUGUAAGCGGCCCGUCUUGAAACACGGACCAAGGAGUCUAACAUCUAUGCGAGUGUUUGGGUGUCAAGCCCGAGCGCGUAAUGAAAGUGAACGGAGGUGGGAACCUUUCGGGGUGCACCAUCGACCGAUCCUGAUGUCUUCGGAUGGAUUUGAGUAAGAGCAUAGCUGUUGGGACCCGAAAGAUGGUGAACUAUGCUUGAAUAGGGUGAAGCCAGAGGAAACUCUGGUGGAGGCUCGCAGCGGUUCUGACGUGCAAAUCGAUCGUCAAAUUUGGGCAUAGGGGCGAAAGACUAAUC
rnacentral:rRNA from 1 species